CUUCCUCCAUUGCAUGCUUUUAGCCCCUUUAUCAAAUAUAAGGUAGUCACUUAUGUAUUUUUAAACCACAGAAAUAAAGGCCUCUAUGUGCUUGUGUACUUUUGCUGACAAUCAAGGAGCUCUACACUCUUCAUGUCAUUUUCUCAUGUGGCCAGCAGGGGGGCAGUGCCUGACUUCCUGCCUCCAUGACACUGCCUAUUGCAGAAGGUUUGCAAGUUUUGUCAUCUAGAGAACACGUUUAAUAAUGUAGAUCAUUUGUCUAAAAAUACUUAUUUGCUUUUAUUCUUUAUUAUGAUUUGGAAGCUGAUGAAUAUCUUCUACAAGAAACAAACACAUGGUCAUCCACUAGCUGGAAGAUGUGCCUGUGUCACCCGAAGACAUGAAAAAUGAUGGGUCUACCCCACAUCUCUGUUUGCAUCUCCCUUCUUUCUCCAUCCAUCAUGUCCAACAUCCAUGUAAAACAUCUCAUCACAGUUAGAUAUUAUGUAUCACACAUUUCUUCUGUCGUGUUGUUCUUUUCAUGAUGGGAAUCUUCACUGGAAUGUGAUCUACUCCUCAGAGACGGAAUGUAACAGAAAUGACGAGGUCCUAUGACAGGCCAUCUGCAAGAGUUCUCAUUGGACCUUUGUCAAAUGGUAGAUCUCAUGGUUAGUAUGGUGAGGUCUGGCACACACUGUCCACUAUCCCCAAAACUCUGAGCUUUCUCUUCCCUGGGAAAGUUUUGCUAAAAUCCUUUAUGUUAUGAAAGAACAUCAGGUCAGAAUAAUGAGAUUGGUGAGAGAGAGAAGGUUAUGAUUUUAAUCACCUGUACACAAGAGUUUAUCACUCUGCAUUGUGUUACGAUCCUUGGUGUCCCUCCCAGACAGUGACCUCAGAGCAGAGUCUAUGCCUUAGUUCCAAUUCUAUCUCAAAGAGCAGUUGCUAAAUACUGAUGAAUGAAUUAACUUCCUUGAGACCCAUGGUCUGACAGGUUGGAGAACCUUAUUGGAAUUUAGUUAGUGAAGCUAUUCUGAGGGAUACUCUAAUGGUGGAUAUAUGUUUAUUACACAUUUGUCCAAACCAAUAUAAUACUAAGAUUGAGUCCUGUGUAAACUAGUUUACACUAGAGAUAAUGUUUUUUUUUUCCAAUUCACCAAUUGUAACAAAUACAUCAAAUUUGGUGAGAGGUGUUGAUAAUGGGCAAGAUUGUAUAUGUGUGGGGUAGAUGGUUUAUGGGAUAUCUCUUUGCCUUCUGCUCAGUGUGAGGAGCCACAUUGAGUUACCACGGCUUCCAGUCCUGAUGCACCAGGACUGGAAGGGAUCUGAAAGAUCACUGUAGUCUGGCAAGGAAGUUCCAUGACUCGUGACUCGGUCUUUUCCCUCACUCAGAUAGCAAGGCCAGUCUUCUGGCAUACCCCUGGGGUUGAGCUACACUCACCUAUUCUUUUUGUAACCCUACCCCUUUGCCCUGUUUGGGAUAGAAUGUUCCACAGAAACUCCCUUUGUGUGUCCCCUUCUCUUGCUCUGCCUUUGCGUGUGGCCUUCCUAGAUGUCAGGCAACCUGCCAACAGCAGACAUCACAAUUAGACUCAAUCCCCUGAAACCUGACCCUUUAUCUCAUUUGAAUGGAUUCUUCCCAAUAAGAGGGUUCAGCAUGUGAUCCCCUCUCUCUUUCCAUGGACCCCUAAGGUCAGAGAAGCCACCACAGGACCUAAAGAAAAAGGCAUUUCUCUGUCUCUGUGUGAUUAUUUUGUGCAGCCCAGUUCACCUGGAGUGACCCUGAGUGUUUAGUCAUGGAACACAACAGCUCAGUUUUACUGUGAACCCAAAAAUGUUCUAGGAAAUAAAGUCUAUUUUAAAAAAUUCUAUGGCACAACUAGUUUAAAAGCUAGAAGAAUAAAACACAGAAACAUCGUAAGGAAACUAAAAUUAGAAUGACCAAAUUGUAAUAAAAAAGAACAGAACUGAAGUUGCAAAAAUACUCCCAAAGACAUUGGACAUAUCUGAGAAGAGGCCCCCAGAAUACAGAGAAAAGAUGUAACAGAGGAAACAAUGUGAAAGGAGUUUACAGAUGCACCGUAGAGACAAUCCUCCUCCUCCUCCUCCUCCAUUCAGUGAUAAAUAUGCAUCACAUAUAAGGAUGUCAUUUCAACAGAGCUCUGCAACAAAAACCAUGCUGAGAAAUACACUAGAAAACUUUCCUAAACUGGGUAAAACAAAACUAUGCUCUUAUCAUUAUUUUGAUUUCCU
rnacentral:lncRNA from 1 species